rnacentral:lncRNA from 1 species
CUGGUAACCACAAAGGGAUUCUGAGUGGAGGUGCCCCUGACCUUUGACAAAUAUAUUGGUGCUUGGUACUAGUUUGAGCUAUCUUUAUGGCUCAAACCAAUAGGACAAUUUGCUGAGGCCUGGAAGCACCCCCUCCAGAGAGUCCCUGAUCUCCCAAAAUUUGGUCAAGAUCUAAAGUUAACUUUGUGGUACAAUUCCCUUUUUUGGGGGAGUUUUACUUGCUUCCAACACAAGGAAGACAAGUUUUUCCUACUUCCAUGAUGAUGAAAGGCUUGGCCUCCACGUGGUUCCAGGAUGACGUCAGGAAUACAAAUCAGCUCAGUUUGGAGACUUAGCAUGCUGUAUAGCACCAUAAAAGCCCAAAGGAACAACUUUAACAAAGAAUGGCUGACUAUUGAGAAGAGUUAAAAAUACCUAAGGGAUACAGCGUGUGCCAAAGAUUGCAAAGGAAGAGCCAACAUUUCCUACUAAUUAUGAAUCUUGAGUUAUAUCCUUUCAGCAAAAAACAAGCAUUGUGAGGAGUCAGCAUACAGACCCAAUCUGCUUUUCACACCUCUCUUCCCUGCCUUCACCCCCGCUGACUCCACCAGCUAGUGCCUGCCGUGCCUGAGAUCCUG